CUAGACGAGGCGAUAGUUAUAACAGACAAGGCGUCGUCAAAAUCUAAAGCCUAUGAUUAUGUAACUUUCAAGCAUGUUUAUUCUAUGAAUCUUUCUUCCGAAUGGAACCACUAGAUUUCUAGAUGCUGAGGUUUCUUGAGCAUGAAGCAGAGCAAGGAUAGGGGCAUCAACAACUACAACAUUUGUGUGGUAACAGAGAUUGUUAAUUAUGUGGACAGGACUGUAGCGGAGGAUAACAAUCCAGUGGCCGAUAACUUGGUCUUACAGAUGAACCACACGCCCCCACUGCGCUGUAUGUUGUACAUGUUUUGGGCAAUAGAAAAGUGUUACAUAGAACAAUAGAACAACAAAAUUAAAUAAGAAUUGAGUCAGAUGUUGAUUUUUCAA